CAGACAUCAACCAGUGAAGUUCAUCGAUUCACUCCAUCGAACAGCCGCCAGUGUCGUUCACCUCGCCACUCAUCCUCAGUCUCUUGAACCCAGCCAUCCCUGCUGCUCGCUUCCCUCUCUUCCUCCCUGCUCGCCUCGACGAAGCCAAGUCUGGCCAUCACCUUCCUAGCCUCGCGCGCUUUCUCCCUGCGCAGGACGCCACCGAUCCUGCUCCAUCCCGGACGUCGUGGUCUCCGACCUCGAGCACCCAGCUCGCUCCCUCCCUAGCAACAACUCCUAGCGCUUGGCCUUCCUCUACGCGAGCGCUUAGAGCUGUGCCUAUCGUGUGCUGGUCUCAGCUAAGCACCGUCUGCUCCAGCGUCACUCGCCCCCUGGCCACCGGUUCGUCCUCAGUCCACCCCUGCCUGCUCGGCUCAGCGUGGAGGCUGGCCAUCGGACGCCACCAUCUUGUGCCAAGUUCCAGGCAAUUCUUCCCCUGAAGUCCGGCACUAGCUAUGGUGGUCGGCGUUCGCUCAGACCGAGCUCUGGCCUCCGGCUAGACUCGCCAGCCACGCUAGCUCUGCGUCCACCUCGUCAUGGGCUCUUCGGCAACUCUGUCCAAGUAACAGCACCAGCCUCCCUGGGCUCGUCUCCUCGUCCAGCGCCCCUCGUUCCUCGACCUCGCUGCGUGGCAUCGCAAUCGGCUGCUAACUCCUGUCGCCAAGCAAGCUACCAGUCCAUGCACGCCGUCGUCUAGUCCCUGCUCCCUUCAAGGCCAUUGUCUUCCACCACCCGACUAUCAUCUCCAUGGGUGCUAGUCGUCCUCCUCAAGCUCCGUCAUGGCGUCAUGGUGCUUGACUGCACUCCACUAUCUCACAGCACUGGCUGUAGACCUUGUUGGCCCUCCCCACGUUGAAUCAGCAAGCUCCGCCAUCGUCACUCAGCUACACGCCUCCACCUCGACAACGAGCAGUCCGAGUUUCCUGAGUGUGUUGUUGGAGA